AUUGAACGCUGGCGGCAGGCUUAACACAUGCAAGUCGAGCGGAAACGAUGAUAGCUUGCUAUCAGGCGUCGAGCGGCGGACGGGUGAGUAAUACUUAGGAAUCUACCUAGUAGUGGGGGAUAGCUCGGGGAAACUCGAAUUAAUACCGCAUACGUCCUACGGGAGAAAGGGGGCAACUUGUUGCUCUCGCUAUUAGAUGAGCCUAAGUCGGAUUAGCUAGAUGGUGGGGUAAAGGCCUACCAUGGCGACGAUCUGUAGCUGGUCUGAGAGGAUGAUCAGCCACACCGGGGACUGAGACACGGCCCGGACUCCUACGGGAGGCAGCAGUGGGGAAUAUUGGACAAUGGGGGGAACCUGAUCCAGCCAUGCCGCGUGUGUGAAGAAGGCCUUUUGGUGUAAAAGCCAUUUUUAAGCAGUGAAGAAGACUCUUC
rnacentral:rRNA from 1 species